rnacentral:tRNA from 1 species
AUUCUUAAAGUAAUAUAUUACAUUUAAUUUCGACUUAACCAUUGAUUAAUAAAUUAAUCUAAGAAUU